UCUAAGGGAAUUCGGCAAAAUAGAUCCGUAACUUUGGGAAAAGGAUUGGCUUUGCGGGCUAGGCCUAGGGGUCUGCGUCCUCAACCUAUGGGCUUUUAGAAGUUUGCCUGAGCUGCUAUCAUGGUGUGGGUGGGUAUUCAUGUGUCGAUUGGGCUACGGAUGUAGGAUUUCCUCUCGCGGGGGAUUUUCCCUAGGUGGAAAAAUGGAUGGUGGAAAUUCCCACAGGGAAAAACACCAAUUUCCGUGGA
rnacentral:ncRNA from 1 species